CGUCCAACAAAAUUAGAGAGAGAGAAAAUAUACCACAUUCUUUAUCUUUAGUUGAAAAUUGAAACUAUUGGUAGUGGAAUUUCAUUAUAUUCUCUUUCAGAAUAAAAAAAUUAAAGAAAUGUCUGGUGUAGGAGCAGCUUCAAAAUUAUCAUUACCAGGUCCAUUGAAAGUAAUUGGUAAAAAACAUCUGGAAAUUGCAUCACAGUGGGUUGGAUCUGCUAUAGUCUUUGGAGCAACAGCAGCAGCAACUGUUUGUUAUGCUACAGAUUGGCGUGUGGUAGUUGGCUAUAUACCGUAUUACAAUGGAAAGUUUAAAACAGAAGAAUAAUUGGAAUUUUUAGAUAUUUUAACUAGAGUGAAAUAAGUAGUUUUCUAAGUCCAAUAAACAUCUACUGAAGAUACUUCUUGUGUCUAUCUAAGGUUCCAAUAUCCCUAUACAACACUUACCUAAAUUACCCCUGGAUAACUAAAAAUGUACCAAAUUUAUGAAAUACUUCAGACAUUCUACGAGAAGUAUCAGGCAACUGCUGAACUCAUCUCUAACAAUUUAUAAUGAUAAUGUUUAUUCACCAUUUAAUAAUACAUAAUGUAGAAAGACAGAGGUAAAUAUAACUAUAAAACUAAA